GCAAGGGGUAGGUGGAGGGGGGGAUGGGUCAGUCCAGAGGAGUUUCGGGCGACCUGCUCCCUUUAGGGUUGGGGCUGGGUUUUGAUCUUUCCCCUGGCCUGCUUAUGCUGACAUCCCCAUCAAGUGAAGAUGCAUAUGAUGGACCCAACAGGGCAUCAAGCUCGCCGAACCCAGAGCCCUUUUCCUGGGCAGAACAGAUGGACAGUGAGGAUCUUUACUCCCCAUAGGGAGGGGAACGUAGUUUUGGAAACAAAACAUUUAAAUUUGAGGAAUUUCAAUGGAGGUACAUCUGCGGAAUAAGUUUGAUGUUGGAAACUUCUCAAGGGAAUGGACAAAAGGGGAUUCAGUUUGGAGUGUAGGGGGGGUCCACUCUACAGAGGUUGGGAUUUUGUUUGAAGUUAAAGAGAUCGUGGUGGAAAAUGUUUUUGUUAUUGUCCAGGGGAGAAUAAUAGGUGCGGAUAUCACAUGGGGGACAGCCAAGUUGAGGGUUAUUGUGGUGUAUGGGCCACAAACACCAGCAGGAAGGCAAGAGAUGGUGGAGAUAGUGGAGCCGCACCUUGCCACAGAUAGGCAGGUAAUUGUAGGGGGUGACUUUAAUGUGGAAUUAGGUAAGGGGAGGGAUACCAGCGAAAAAUUUAUCUCCCACCUUAUGGCCAUACAUGGCCUGGUAGAUGGGGGGAGGGAGGUCAGGCCGCGGGUAGACGGUCCCACAUAGCGUAACUCCCGGGGAAUAGUCAGACGUCUGGAUUAUGUGUUUUUAGCAAAAUCUUUGAGUCUGUUGGCAGGCAGGCUGAUCCCUGUAUUCUUUUCAGAUCAUGAUGGACUGCUGUUUGAGGUGCACUCUUGUGUGCCAGGUUUUGGGCCUGGUUACUGGCGCCUAAAUAUUAGUAUUCUUGAGGAAGAGUUGUUUAAACAGUAUUUUCUAGUGUUUUUCAAUGGCCUUCUGGGACUCAGACAAAUGUGUCCUGGGGUGAUAGAGUGGUGGGAGGUUGCCAAGGAGCGGAUGAAGACUUUUUGUAUAAAUUAUUGUAAAAGGAAGGUGAGGUGGGUGAAGAGGGAGGUGUUCCGCCUACAGCGCCAGUGGAAAGGAGGGUUUGGUUGGAUAUGGUGAAAUUUAGAUUCAGGGUUAGGGUUAGGUUAGAAGAAAGGGUUAACUCCCUGCAGGGAGUUAUAAUGCACUGGCACUAGUAUUUCUUUGUAUUAUAAGUUCAUAAAAUCAACAGGUGCUACUAUUUGGUUUAUAAAAGAUUUAAAAAUCAAAAGGAAAAAAUUAGGGGAAACAACAAAUGAAUCAGUGUCUGGGACUAAAAUAACUAAGAAAUGGAACAAAUGACCACAUAGUCUAACAGGCCAAGGGGCUCAGUUAAAUCUCCUGUAACGGGGAGAUUUGAGACACCACCAUUGAUAAUUCAUAAAAAGUAAGCACUCAGGUAUAAUUCAGGAGAGCAGCGGGGUCAGAAAAAACAAACAAAACAAAAAACAAAACAAAAACAGACUGAACAGAACUGCAGCAGGGCGGUAAGUGCUGGAAAGAAAAAAAAGUAAUCUGAUCAAUCAAAGGGAGAUGCAAGAAAUUAUAUUAAUAAUAUUAACAUGAAUAAGUGCUUCAAUAGAAAAAAACAUGCAUGUAGUAAAUCAUAAUGUACAUAAUAGAAAAAAUACAAACACACAACAAAAGGAUAAAACAGAAUAGCCCUGUUGCAGCAAUGUCUGCCUAAGGUCCUGACCAUUACUCAGUUUAAAAGCUUAAAACUACAAGCCGACCCCGUAUUAAAACGUGUUUUUUAUUAAAUUUUUUUUACAUCUUCUAGGUAACAGAUCUCGCUGGAACCUGACUGGAAAGAAGGGGAGAAGAGAAAGAAACUCAACCAAAGGGUGGACCAGCCGUCUCUGCCCUCCAGGCCUCUAUACCUGAGAUGCUCCAAACCAAACAUUUUAAAGUGCCCAUGAAGUAAGGUGGUGGCUCUCCCUCCCCGAAUACGGAUGGAGUGCCGCAAAGAGGAUCUUUGUAGCGUCCUCUACAUCCUGAGGGAUUUGACUGAACUGGUCCAGAUACCAAAAAUAUCGUCACGGUACCGGAGAUACAGCAGAGGUCUCACGGAGGAGGAGGGGGGGGCCCUUUUCCCACUCACCCAGGUUCUGUGUGGUCAACACCGUAAACCGGUUCUGGAGUGGCAGAGUCAUGGUGUCAUAAAAAAGCAGGUAACAGAUCUCGCUGGAACCUGACUGGAAAGAAGGGGAGAAGAGAAAGAAACUCAACCAAAGGGCACCGCUGUAGAACAGCUAUUUGGCCACAUUGUUUAAACCAGGGGACAGCUGAUCACACACAAGCCGAGCGGCAUGGCGCCCAGGGCAACCGAUGUCCCCACUGAGAUCUGGAGGCGGACACACUGAGGAUGCAGAGGUGGAACAAAGCGGCAAGGAACGGGA